CUCGUAGUUGGAUUUCUGGUCGGAGCGAUCGGUCCGCCUCAUUCGGGGGUGUGUACUUUGUGUCGCCUCCAGCCAUCCUUGAGGCGAGCUGUCCUGGCAUUGAGUUGUUGGGGCAGGGAACCUCAUCUUUUACUGUGAAAAAAUUAGAGUGUUUAAAGCAGGCUUACGCCGUUGAAUACAUUAGCAUGGAAUAAUAAGAUAGGACUUUGGUGGUCUAUUUUGUUGGUUUGCACACCGAAGUAAUGAUUAAGAGGGACAGUUGGGGGUAUUCGUAUUUAAUUGUCAGAGGUGAAAUUCUUGGAUUUUCUGAAAGACGAACUACUGCGAAAGCAUUUACCAAGGAUGUUUUCAUUAAUCAAGAACGAAAGUUAGGGGAUCGAAGAUGAUUAGAUACCAUCGUAGUCUUAACCAUAAACUAUGCCGACUCGGGAUUGGCGGGCGUUAACUUAUGACUCCGUCAGCACCGUAUGAGAAAUCAAAGUC
rnacentral:rRNA from 1 species